GACGAACGCUGGCGGCGUGCCUAAUACAUGCAAGUCGAACGCUUUUUCUUUCACGCGGAGCUUGCUCCACCGAAAGAAAAAGAGUGGCGAACGGGUGAGUAACACGUGGGUAACCUGCCCAUCAGAAGGGGAUAACACUUGGAAACAGGUGCUAAUACCGUAUAACACUAUUUUCCGCAUGGAAGAAAGUUGAAAGGCGCUUUUGCGUCACUGAUGGAUGGACCCGCGGUGCAUUAGCUAGUUGGUGAGGUAACGGCUCACCAAGGCCACGAUGCAUAGCCGACCUGAGAGGGUGAUCGGCCACACUGGGACUGAGACACGGCCCAGACUCCUACGGGAGGCAGCAGUAGGGAAUCUUCGGCAAUGGACGAAAGUCUGACCGAGCAACGCCGCGUGAGUGAAGAAGGUUUUCGGAUCGUAAAACUCUGUUGUUAGAGAAGAACAAGGAUGAGAGUAGAACGUUCAUCCCUUGACGGUAUCUAACCAGAAAGCCACGGCUAACUACGUGCCAGCAGCCGCGGUAAUACGUAGGUGGCAAGCGUUGUCCGGAUUUAUUGGGCGUAAAGCGAGCGCAGGCGGUUUCUUAAGUCUGAUGUGAAAGCCCCCGGCUCAACCGGGGAGGGUCAUUGGAAACUGGGAGACUUGAGUGCAGAAGAGGAGAGUGGAAUUCCAUGUGUAGCGGUGAAAUGCGUAGAUAUAUGGAGGAACACCAGUGGCGAAGGCGGCUCUCUGGUCUGUAACUGACGCUGAGGCUCGAAAGCGUGCGGAGCGAACAGG
rnacentral:rRNA from 1 species